AUUGAACGCUGGCGGCAUGCCUUACACAUGCAAGUCGAACGGUAGCACAGAGAGCUUGCUCUCGGGUGACGAGUGGCGGACGGGUGAGUAAUGUCUGGGAAACUGCCCGAUGGAGGGGGAUAACUACUGGAAACGGUAGCUAAUACCGCAUAACGUCGCAAGACCAAAGUGGGGGACCUUCGGGCCUCACACCAUCGGAUGUGCCCAGAUGAGAUUAGCUAGGAGGUGGGGUAAUGGCUCACCCAGGCGACGAUCCCUAGCUGGUCUGAGAGGAGGACCAGCCACACUGGAACUGAGACACGGUCCAGACUCCUACGGGAGGCAGCAGUGGGGAAUAUUGCACAAUGGGGGCAAGCCUGAUGCAGCCAUGCCGCGUGUAUGAAGAAGGCCUUCGGGUUGUAAAGUACUUUAAGCGAGGAGGAGGGCGAUGUGGUUAAUAACCUUGUCGAUUGACGUUACCCGCAGAAGAAGCACCGGCUAACUCCGUGCCAGCAGCCGCCGUAA
rnacentral:rRNA from 1 species